rnacentral:rRNA from 1 species
UACGAAGGGGGCUAGCGUUGCUCGGAAUUACUGGGCGUAAAGGGCGCGUAGGCGGAUGUCUAAGUUGGGGGUGAAAUCCCGGGGCUCAACCUCGGAACCGCCCUUCAAUACUGGAUAUCUUGAGUUCGGGAGAGGUGAGUGGAAUGCCGAGUGUAGAGGUGAAAUUCGAUAGAUAUUCGGCGGAACACCAGUGGCGGAGGCGACUCACUGGCCCGAUACUGACGCUGAGGCGCGAAAAGCGUGGGGAG